ACCAGACUCCUACGGGAGGCAGCAGUGGGGGAUAUUGCACAAUGGGGGGAACCCUGAUGCAGCGACGCCGCGUGGGUGAAGAAGCGCCUCGGCGCGUAAAGCCCUGUCAGCAGGGAAGAAAAUGACGGUACCUGAAGAAGAAGCCCCGGCUAACUACGUGCCAGCAGCCGCGGUAAUACGUAGGGGGCAAGCGUUAUCCGGAUUCACUGGGUGUAAAGGGAGCGUAGACGGCCAUGCAAGCCUGGAGUGAAAGCCCGGGGCCCAACCCCGGGACUGCUCUUGGAACUGCGUGGCUGGAGUGCAGGAGGGGCAGGCGGAAUUCCUGGUGUAGCGGUGAAAUGCGUAGAUAUCAGGAGGAACACCGGUGGCGAAGGCGGCCUGCUGGACUGCAACUGACGUUGAGGCCCGAAAGCGUGGGGAGCAAACAGGAUUAGAUACCCUGGUAA
rnacentral:rRNA from 1 species